CAGACUGUGAGGAUGCUCCUGCAGGCCACCCAUUGCACUCAAGGGAGAAGGCCGAGGAUUUCUGGCUUUAGCAGUACUUUAAAUGUUUCCAGCAUCGGUGUUCUUCAUCUGCAAAGUGCAGGUGGUACAAUCGGCCUCUCCAGGACUGAAUGAUGCUGGACUAUCACUCAGGACAUACACAUGGUGCUGACAUUUAGUGAACAAUGAUGGGAUGGCUCUGAUAGACAUCACCACCAUCAUAUUAAGUCUAUGCCAGAGUGGGAGCAGAGUUGGAUUCUCACCUCCAUUUGCCUGAAGACCCAAUGGAGGCUCAGUGUCUUGGAACCAGAUGAUGACCACCAACAUCUGGCUAAAGCAGCAGGGGAGCUGGAUUCUCACUUGGUGGCUCAGGGCUUCCAAGGUGACAGUUCCAAGAGGCACGAAGUAGAAGCUGCUGCGGUUCUCUUACUUUUGGACACUAGCCCAGCAUCAGUUCUGCUGUACUCCACUGAUCCAAAGGAAUCCAGCUGGAUCCAGCUUCCUCAUGCACAACCAAGAAGGACCAGUCUGACCAAAGGAACUAGGAGCUCACAGAAGGCAGUGGGGAGGCUGAAGAGAAUCCCAGUGGGCAAAAAUUACUGAGUUAAUUUUUGAUCAAAGAAAUGGAAAUCUAUACUUCAUUUGCACUGUCAGGCCUAACAGGGCGGCAGGUACCUGGUGUCCAUGGCUGCUGCAGGACUCGAGCCCCAUCCUAUUCCUGUGCCCAGGAGCUGGUGCCAAGGAUCCUGUGCCUCUGGUGGAGGUCAGGAGCAAAGUCCUGGCAUCAAAUAUGACUUGGGAGUUUCAGGAUUGCUGGUAAGGCUUUGGCUAGGACUACUUGGUUAUCACAAGAAAUUCUUCUCAAGCCCAAACACUUGCAGACAUUGAAUUAAAGAAGAGUUCCCCCUCCUAGUUAAGUCAAUGAAGUUG
rnacentral:lncRNA from 1 species